UACGUAGGGUCCGAGCGUUGUCCGGAAUUACUGGGCGUAAAGGGCUCGUAGGCGGUUUGUCGCGUCGGGAGUGAAAUCCACUGGCUUAACUGGUGGCUUGCUUUCGAUACGGGCAGGCUCGAGUUCGGUAGGGGAGACUGGAAUUCCUGGUGUAGCGGUGAAAUGCGCAGAUAUCAGGAGGAACACCGGUGGCGAAGGCGGGUCUCUGGGCCGAUACUGACGCUGAGGAGCAAAAGCGUGGGGAGCGAACAGG
rnacentral:rRNA from 1 species